CCGCGGUAAAACGUAGGAGACGAGCGUUAUCCGGAUUUACUGGGCGUAAAGCGCGUGCAGGCGGCAUGGCAAGUUGGAUGUGAAAGCUCCCGGCUUAACUGGGAGAGGUCGUUCAAUACUGCCAGGCUUGAGAGUGGUAGAGGGAAGCGGAAUUCCGGGUGUAGUGGUGAAAUGCGUAGAUAUCCGGAGGAACACCAGUGGCGAAAGCGGCUUCCUGGCCCAUUUCUGACGCUCAGACGCGAAAGCUAGGGUAGCAAAC
rnacentral:rRNA from 1 species